rfam:Aedes aegypti strain Liverpool supercont1.390 genomic scaffold, whole genome shotgun sequence.
GGCUCGGUAGCUUAGUUGGUAAAGCACUCGUCUAACUUGCAAGAGUCCUGGGUUCGAAUCCCAGCCGAGCAC